AGUUCCAGUGGGCUUUUAUUGAGAUUGAAAAAAAAAAAAAAAUCAAGAUUUUACCAGCCAUCUUUUUUGAACCUUAUAGACUCUGGUCCAUAUUACGUGUACAUAAAACAUAACACAUCCCAAUGAAAACAGAGACCCACUGGAACAAUUGCCAAUUAACACAAAGCCAAUUUUCCCUUUCCCCGAAAUGGUUUCAAAAUUUUGGGUUCCCGCGGCUCCCUCCCCGGUAGAACUGGUCCCUUGUGGCUAGGGACAUUAGGAUUUUCUCCCAUUUUUGCUGAACAAAAAUUACAUUUUUCAAGUUUAUUCCAAAAAAGGGAAGCAAUUUUGUUUUAUCCAAGGACCCCUUCCCAACAACCACUGGUUAAAAUACAGCAGGCUGUAUCUCCAUUGCCCAGCCCUCCCCCCACCCCUGCCCUGCCCAGCGCUGUCCACUGGAGAAUUUCAGCACACUUCUGCUGCAAUGCGUCAGCUGCGGAGGGCAGAGGCAGGCGCCAGGCUCUCUCUGGCCUCAUCGACUGUCACAGCCUUUGGACACUGACUCUUUACUCCCAAGAUGAGCUUCCACAUCAGAGAGAAGUUGAUUUUCUUUGGGAGCUUAAAAAAAUUAUCUAUGAAUAUAAAGCAGAACUAUUAAACUCACCAGUCUACUUAAGUUCACCAAAAAGCUGAUUUACUUCAGUUCCUGUGAGGCCAAUAAUUCUGCUUAACGAAGUAUUUUGGUGAGAAAAAUAAUUCCACAAUUUUAAAGAUCCAUGAAAGGUGAAAAAUGUAGCGAAUUAAAACAUGGCUUAAUUCCCAAUAACUCAUGUAACCUGUUACUCAUCUAGAAGGUCAGGAGUGUGGCUAAAGGCAGUUUCUGAUGAGGUUCUGAGCUUCCCAAGUGUUUCCAAAUCCUUAGUGCACACACCCUCCCUGUGGGUUGCAGUACCCUCCCUCCCACCCCAUUAAAAAAAAGAAAAAAAAAAAAUUAAACCAAGUAUUCAGAAUGAGAUGUUUUGGUUUCAAUAGCGUGUGCCCAAAGCUUUGUGCUGAGUUGUCCUGCUCUAGGCCAGCACAACGGCAUCAAGCACAAAGCCAGCGGCAGAGGAAAGAUGCUCCCAUCUCAUUCUGAAAGCAAGUAUGAUGCCCGCAACCCCCCCCCCCCCACCCUUUGGAUCAACCCUGUAUUAUGGAUGCUGGAGUCCACUGCAAAAAAUAAACGCAGGUUUUCCUCCCCGCAUUUCCUUCCAUGGAAAAUCAUGUUAAGAUGAACUUAUCCCACGGGAAAGGAAAGGCAAGAGAAGUUUCACCUUCAGAACUUAGGGGAGUGAAAAACAAAACAGGCCCAGAGGCAGCAGGCGUGUAACAGUCCGUAACCCAUCACACAGCUGCAUGAGCAGGGGUGAAAGCCUGGGUUGGAUGUAGUUUUUAGAAACAGAACAUAGUUCCCAUCCAAAUGAACCACUGGAAACAUAUAUAACCAUCACGUUCAAGAAAAAAACAAAAACCCAAUACUGUAAAGAAUCUGAGGACCAUUUCCAAUAGAAAUAAUGUUCCUUAUUGUAAGGGAUAAAAAAGAAAGAAAGAAAAAAAUAAGACCAGGCUUGGUCCUGGUCUUCAGAGCAUCUUUCCAUUUAGCUGUUCCUAUUCGACUCAAGUACCAAAACUGGGCAGCUGCCUCCAACCACGGUGUCCCAGACAAGUGCCUCUCCUCUCAGAGGCUGCACUUCAGUAAUACUUUCAAUUCAAGUCUGUGCUUUAAGAGGGACCACAGGUACGUGGCACCAGGCAGAGCAGUCUAAGGGUGGCAAAGAUGACUGCACUUUUUGUUUAAUCACCCCACACUCCCAGGCGAGAUACAAAAUGGAUUUAUAUUCCUUUGUGUUCUACAUAAAUGAUCCCUCUUACCUCGCCGGGGGGGGGGUGCAGAGAGCUGCAUCAGUUCAAGGUAAGAUUGUUGGUCAAAAGGUGACACUGCAAGUCCCCUCCCCCACCCAUCCCUGGAAAAGGUAUUUCUUCAAUUAGGUUUGCAUUUAAUAACCAACACUGACCUGAUAGAGCAUCUAUGACUUGGGAUUCCAAAGAAAGGAACUUGCUCUCUGGGGGAUUUGUACUGCGCAGCUCUUGCUACAGUUAAGGAGUUAGGGUUGUGUGUGAUCAGGAGGCAUCUGUAGGAUUUUAAUCCUCAAGGAAUUUUGGGCAAGUCACAAAGUUUUGCUUAGAACUAGGCAGUCAAAAAAGCAACUUUGAAUAACUGAUUUCUUUAUCCAGAUGAAUUAAGCACAAAGCAUAUGCAGAAAUUUUCUUGUAAUAAGGUUCUGAAUACAAUGGGAAUAUGGAAAUCAACUUUUUAAAUUUAUUUUUUGCUUUUUUUUGUUCUCUAGAUGCCUCCUGAUUGACCUAGUACACUGGGUUAAAAGGGAAUUAAAAACAUU